GACGAACGCUGGCGGCGUACUUAACACAUGCAAGUCGAACGGAAAGGCCCUGCUUUUGUGGGGUGCUCGAGUGGCGAACGGGUGAGUAACACGUGAGUGACCUGCCCUUGACUUUGGGAUAACUUCAGGAAACUGGGGCUAAUACCGGAUAGGAGCUCCUGCUGCAUGGUGGGGGUUGGAAAGUUUCGGCGGUUGGGGAUGGACUCGCGGCUUAUCAGCUUGUUGGUGGGGUAGUGGCUUACCAAGGCUUUGACGGGUAGCCGGCCUGAGAGGGUGACCGGCCACAUUGGGACUGAGAUACGGCCCAGACUCCUACGGGAGGCAGCAGUGGGGAAUAUUGCACAAUGGGCGGAAGCCUGAUGCAGCAACGCCGCGUGCGGGAUGACGGCCUUCGGGUUGUAAACCGCUUUCGCCUGUGACGAAGCGUGAGUGACGGUAAUGGGUAAAGAAGCACCGGCUAACUACGUG
rnacentral:rRNA from 1 species